rnacentral:misc_RNA from 1 species
GGGCACCGCCGAUGGACUCUCGCGGAAGAUUCGUCCCAUGAUAGGCGCGCUCGUUCCGAGCAGAAUCACGGCGGCCGUCGUGCAUAGGAGCAUUGCUCCGGAGAAGAUCAUGAAUUCACGCGAGAGCACGUGCGACUCGCGCUUCGGGGCCGGAA